rfam:Ectocarpus siliculosus strain Ec 32, whole genome shotgun sequence assembly, unassigned sequences LGTn
GGCGGCAUAGCCAAGUGGCAAGGCCGGGGGUUGCCAAACCCUCUCAUCCCCAGUUCGAUUCUGGGUGUCGUCA